ACACAGCCCUCAGCUCUGUGUAAAAAGCUCACCUUUUAGGGUGGCAGCCAGUUGGUUACUGACCCCCCAAAAGGAGGACUGGCUCACUUCUUCUGACAACUUCUGAUAAUCAGAGGGGAUUCUAAGCUUUCCUUCUGGACUUCAAUGUCUCCUGGGGGGAAAAGGAAGAAGGAAAAAUACACCCUGAUCGGUGGCACUCUUUUGCUAAAGCCGCUUUGCCGUGGAGCAGAUGUCUUGGCAGCCUGCAGGGCAGACCUCUUCCUGGAAUCAGUUCAGCUCUUAGAACCCCCCAUGGGUGGCUGAUGGACAAAGCAAUAAAGCUGACUGCAUCCUGCUCCUUCCCA
rnacentral:lncRNA from 1 species